CACGAUUCUUUGCUGAUGAAAAGGAAAUUGCCAUAUUUGGAUCCGACAGCAUUGUAGAGGAGAGAGCUUUCCAACGUGUGUUUCAGUAUCUAUAAGUGAAGAUGGCAACCCCAGUUAUCCGCAUCGUCAACCCAGAGGCCCCUGCACACCGUCGACAGGCCGUACCGAUGGCGACUGAAGAGGCCCGUUGCUGUCUUCCCUAAACCUCCACAGGAGCUGCUCUUCCAGGACAUCGCCCUGACACACGCAGAGAAGCUCCUUCGAGCAGAGGGCAUCCCUGCAGCGUCGUGUCAGCUGUGCCUGGGAAAGCUCCUAGUCCCUUUUGGCCAGUGUGACAAUGCACCCUUCCACUGGCUUGUCGCAAAUGAUGUGGGAUACAUGAAGUACAUGCUUGAGAAGCACCAGUCAGAGGUCCAAACCCACAUCGGAAGGGAGAGGUGGGGAACCAGUGGGGGAAAGACCUCCUCGCUGAAUACACUGAGAGCUCCUCUCACCUUGAAGCCAACAGAAUUUGCACCUGUACAAGUCUGGCUACCACACCUGGGUACACCACAUCUGCGACGUUUCCAGCUGGUACACCAUGCUGGCAGAGGUCCUGUACCAAGGCAGGCAGGAGCAAGGAAGGUGCGACAGUGGGUCGCUGGACUGCGUGGGAUUCCGCUAUUUUAUCACAACUUAGCGAGGCUCACCAAGCUCUGUUCCCUGCCAUCCUCACCAGCGAGUGAGUGUACAAACACCCCUCUCACCCCCUCCAUGCUUGCUGCCGCCUUGGAGUAGAAGGCUGCUUGAGUGCUUGUCUUCAGAAGAUGAAGAGGAAGGGCUCUCACCCUUUCGCCUGCGCUCCUUUAUGAUGGUAGAAUGGUUGGUGCCUCCACUAGACGAAGGUCUCUCACCCCUUUGUUUGGACUUCCUCGAAGAAGAGUCCAUAUCUCCUGAAGACCGAGGUCUUGCAAAGAAUUUUAGUCCAAAAAUGGAUCUAAACAUUUUCUCAAUGAUCUCUCGUUUGUAUACUGCCGUUUCGAAACUGCAAGUACAAACACACACAGCGAUUACUUCAGAAGAUGAAGAGGAAGGGCUCUCAGCCCUGUUUUCUUGCUGCCUCCUCGUGGUAGAACGCUGGUCGUCUUCAGAAGAUGAAGACGAAGGGCUCUCGCCCCUCCAUGCUUGCUGCCGCCUUGGAGUAGAAGGCUAAUUGUCUUCAGAAGAUGAAGACGAAGGGCUCUCAAACCUUCGUAUUUGCUGCCUGGUACAAGGGAACACCGUGAUUAAAGUGUGGCGGCAGCAACAUGAAAAUCAUAACGAGGAGUACCUUCGUCGUAAGGAUCUGUACACCCCACUCCUCGUGACUGUAUCAGAACCCGGAGGGAUUGUCUCUGUAUUUGGACACACCUUCCAGGCUCCACCUCCUCAGAGAGCGCUUCCAUCCGCUGCUCCUGCACCACCCCGUCCUGCUGGCAGAGGCCAACAAUGUGCAGGAUUACCGGAAACCAGAUCCUCUCCACUUUUGGCACUGCGCUGAAAAUGGAUUCCACCAAGAAAGUGGUAAAGAAGCUGUCUGGCGAGGGCAAAGUCUCAGCUGAGUGGUUGACCAGCAUCGGAAAAACGAGCAGUCCCAGAUAGUUUUGUUUGUGCUAACCUGCGAGGAGUCCACCGAGAAGCUGAAACCAACGUGCCGUGGAGUCACGGACAGGAUCCGGCUGGCCAAUCGAGCUGUUCCCAAAAUAUUAUAUGUGGACCGUGGGUGUUGCCCUGCACAGGGACCAACAGGGACGCAGACUUUGUUCCAGCCUUGGGGAGACAGUGGUAUGGUUGUGCGUCUGGACAUCUUCCGCUGGAUCCACCGGUUUGACGCAGCCAUACGCACACUGCAAGUACGCUGUGUUCAGGUCGGCUCUAGCCGAAGAUAUAUUCUGGAGCUAAAAGGUCCCGCUGGGCUGGACCAGAGUGGAGUGAGCCUCUUCAAAACGCCUGGUGUUAAAGACAACGUGCAAAACAGCUAGAAACAGAUAGUGUAGCAUAGGUAAUGACCAUAACACACUGUGUCUCUGUAUGAAUCUGUAUUUCCAGAGGCCAUUGAUGAGAUGGGGGCGAGCCGGCAGCGACACCGGGAGUGCAUCCAGGAUCCACCAGGCCCGAUCACGUACAGGGUGGCGCGUACCACAGACAUCAACAAUGUGGACGUGCCCUUCUACAAAUGUCCACAAAACUCUUCCACACAUGAUUCCAGGUCCCCACUGUGCAGCACGGCCCUAUCAGGGUUACCUGAUGAGUGGCGUUGCACGGUGGAACUCUGACAGGAGCUUGGGUGCCGUGUUUGGAGGCAGAGGACGGCACUGAUCGACCGCCUCAACACCCGCCGUCAGCAGCUAUUCGGAGAGACUGCGGAGCCCCCGCUGAUGUCCCUUCCAACGAGCUGCUGGGGCUAGAGUACCUGUUUGGCCAGAGCACGGGUGAAUCUGGACCCUUUUCCCUUAAGGACAUUGUAAACGAUGGACCUGGUCCAGAGGAGGAGGUGGUUCAGCCCGGGCAGCCCGAUCCGGAGUCGGAUGAGGCGUACCAGAGCGACGUGGAGGCCCGCGAUGAUGCGCUGGAUGUCAUCGUGCCCCACAUAACGCUCACCAGCGACGAAACCUCCACUGUUCACCCUCCAGCCUUUUAAGGAGGCCUGCAGUCCAAAGGCUUCGUCAAAGCUGGAACGGUUCUGCUCUGUGCUGGUGGAGAUCGGCGGGACGGAGGACAAGCUGUCACUAAGCUCAGAGCAGAGGAACCACGUCCUGGACGCCUGGAGCCAAGUGGACGAGCAUGACAAACAACCUUGUUGAUGCUGCUGUAGUACACAUAUGCACAUAUGGCAAUAGAAACAUAAAAGUACCUUUAGGCCUUUGGGUGCUGCUCUGCUGAAGAGUACAUAAACUAUCUGAUAAGAACUCCCAUGAUCCUUUUUUUUUUUUUUUUUUUUUUAUGAGUUUUUCUUUUUCUUGCACACAAAACAAUCCCCUCCCAGCCCGCCCCAUCCCACCUUGACUGGACCAAAUAAGAAAUGAUUAACAAUGCAGACAAUUAUAAAGAAAAUACAUACUUAGACUUGAAACAUAAACAAAUAUGAUUUCCGUGAAGGACGGCACGCCUUCAAAACUCUAUCAUGACACACCAUAGGGGAAUACUAUAGCCAGGUGUUUAUAUAUAGUGUAGCUCGAGUAUGGAGGGGGGGGCAGUCAUUCCUUCAGAGUCGGCCAGGAUGGUCACUCACAACACCGGUAGGGCCUGGAGGUUGCUACAGUAUGACAAUAGAGAUUCCCACACUGAGAGGAAUUUGUUAGAGCCUCUUAUUGUAAAUUCAAUUCAAUUUCAAUUCAAUUUUAUUUAUAGUAUCAAAUCAUAACAAAAGUUAUCUCGAGACA